GUCUUUAAGAUAUUAAUUUAAAGUCUAGCCUGCCCAAUGAUAAUUUUUAAUGGCCGCAGUAUUUUGACUGUGCAAAGGUAGCAUAAUAAUUAGUUUCUUAAUUAGAAACUGGAAUGAAAGGUUGGACGAGAAAAUAGCUGUCUCUUUAUUAAUUUUUUAGAAUUUUAUUUUUAAGUUAAAAAGCUUAAAUAUAUUUAAAAGACGAGAAGACCCUAUAGAGUUUUAUUAAUUUUUUAAUAAAAUUAUAAAUUGAAUUGUUAAAUUUUUAUUUAUAAAUUAAUUUGAUUGGGGUGAUAUAAAAAUUUAAUAAACUUUUUAAAAUAAAAACAUUGAUUUAUGAAUAUUUGAUCCAUUAUUAUGAUUAUAAGAAUAAAUUACCUUAGGGAUAACAGCGUAAUUUCUUUUUAGAGUUCUUAUCGAUAAAGAAGUUUGCGACCUCGAUGUUGGAUUAAAAUUAAGAUUUGGUGUAGAAGCUAAAUUCUUAGGUCUGUUCGACCUUUAAAAUUUUACAUGAUCUGAGUUUAAACCGGUGUGAGCCAGGUUGGUUUCUAUCUUUAAAUAAAUUUUAUGUUUUAGUACGAAAGGACCAGAUAUAAUAAAAAUUUUAUAUAAUUGAAUAUUAAUAAU
rnacentral:rRNA from 1 species